rnacentral:rRNA from 1 species
UACCAGCACCCCGAAUGGUCGGGACGUUUAUUGGGCCUAAAGCAUCCGUAGCCGGUUCUACAAGUCUUCCGUUAAAUCCACCUGCUUAACAGAUGGGCUGCGGAAGAUACUAUGGAGCUAGGAGGCGGGAGAGGCAAGCGGUACUCGAUGGGUAGGGGUAAAAUCCGUUGAUCCAUUGAAGACCACCAGUGGCGAAGGCGGCUUGCCAGAACGCGCUCGACGGUGAGGGAUGAAAGCUGGGGGAGCAAACCGG